GACGAACGCUGGCGGCGUGCCUAAUACAUGCGAGUAGAACGCUGAAGAGAGGAGCUUACUCUUCUUGGAUGAGUUGCGAACGGGUGAGUAACGCGUAGGUAACCUGCCUUGUAGCGGGGGAUAACUAUUGGAAACGAUAGCUAAUACCGCAUAACAAUGGAUGACACAUGUCAUUUAUUUGAAAGGGGCAAUUGCUCCACUACAAGAUGGACCUGCGUUGUAUUAGCUAGUAGGUGAGGUAAUGGCUCACCUAGGCGACGAUACAUAGCCGACCUGAGAGGGUGAUCAGCCACACUGGGACUGAGACACGGCCCAGACUCCUACGGGAGGCAGCAGUAGGGAAUCGUCGGCAAUGGGGGCAACCCUGACCGAGCAACGCCGCGUGAGUGAAGAAGGUUUUCGGAUCGUAAAGCUCUGUUGUAAGUCAAGAACGGGUGUGAGAGUGGAAAGUUCACACUGUGACGGUAGCUUACCAGAAAGGGACGGCUAACUACGUG
rnacentral:rRNA from 1 species